AAAAGUGGAAUUAGAAUAAAAAGAUGAAAAUAUAAACUUUAUCUCUCAACAUAAACUCCAUCAAGUUCAAGACACGUUUGUAAGCAAUGAUACCAGCCACUUAGUCUAUCCCUGAAGAGCUGAGUUUCCUGGGAAUUUAACCACAUCAAUAUAGUCUUUUUUACAUUAUUAACUGAAGAAAAAUUGGUGUCCUUUAAAGAUUUUUUAAGAUUAGGA